rnacentral:rRNA from 1 species
UACGUAGGGUGCGAGCGUUGCCCGGAUUUAUUGGGCGUAAAGGGCGCGUAGGCGGCUCGGCACGUCCGUUGUGAAAUCGCCCGGCUCAACUGGGCGGGGUCAGCGGAUACGGUCGAGCUUGAGCAAGCUAGGGGGCAAUGGAAUUCCCGGUGUAGCGGUGAAAUGCGUAGAUAUCGAGAGGAACACCUGCGGCGAAGGCGGGUUGCUGGGCUGACACUGACGCUGAAGCGCGAAAGCUAGGGGAGCGAACGGG